ACGAACGCUGGCGGCAUGCUUUACACAUGCAAGUCGAACGCGAAAGUUCCUUCGGGAAUUAGUAGAGUGGCAAACGGGUGAGUAACGCGUGGGAAUAUACCUUAUAGUCUGGAAUAGCCUCGGGAAACUGGGAUUAAUACCGGAUACGCCCUUAGGGGGAAAGAUUUAUCGCUAUAAGAUUAGCCCGCGUCAGAUUAGCUUGUUGGUGGGGUAAUGGCCUACCAAGGCAACGAUCUGUAGCUGGUCUGAGAGGACGAUCAGCCACACUGGGACUGAGACACGGCCCAGACUCCUACGGGAGGCAGCAGUGGGGAAUAUUGGACAAUGGACGAAAGUCUGAUCCAGCAAUGCCGCGUGAGUGAUGAAGGCCUUAGGGUUGUAAAGCUCUUUUAGUAGGGAAGAUAAUGACGGUACCUACAGAAAAAGCACCGGCUAACUUCGU
rnacentral:rRNA from 1 species